GAUGAACGCUGGCGGUCUGCUUAACACAUGCAAGUCGAACGCCCUCUUCGGAGGGAGUGGCAGACGGGUGAGUAACGCGUGGGAACCUACCUAGAAGUUCGGGAUAACACAGAGAAAUUUGUGCUAAUACCGGAUACGCCCUACGGGGGAAAGAUUUAUUGCUUCUAGAUGGGCCCGCGUUGGAUUAGCUAGAUGGUGGGGUAAUGGCCUACCAUGGCGACGAUCUAUAGCUGGUCUGAGAGGAUGAUCAGCCACACUGGGACUGAGACACGGCCCAGACUCCUACGGGAGGCAGCAGUGGGGAAUAUUGGACAAUGGGGGGAACCCUGAUCCAGCCAUGCCGCGUGAGUGAUGAAGGCCUUAGGGUUGUAAAGCUCUUUCGCUGGGGAAGAUAAUGACUGUACCCAGUAAAGAAGCCCCGGCUAACUUCG
rnacentral:rRNA from 1 species